UGGGGAAUUUUGGACAAUGGGCGAAAGCCUGAUCCAGCCAUGCCGCGUGCAGGAUGAAGGCCUUCGGGUUGUAAACUGCUUUUGUACGGAACGAAACGGCCUUUUCUAAUAAAGAGGGCUAAUGACGGUACCGUAAGAAUAAGCACCGGCUAACUACGUGCCAGCAGCCGCGGUAAUACGUAGGGUGCAAGCGUUAAUCGGAAUUACUGGGCGUAAAGCGUGCGCAGGCGGUAAUGUAAGACAGUGGUGAAAUCCCCGGGCUCAACCUGGGAACUGCAUCUGUGACUGCAUUGCUGGAGUACGGCAGAGGGGGAUGGAAUUCCGCGUGUAGCAGUGAAAUGCGUAGAUAUGCGGAGGAACACCGAUGGCGAAGGCAAUCCCCUGGGCCUGUACUGACGCUCAUGCACGAAAGCGUGGGGAGCAAACA
rnacentral:rRNA from 1 species